UUCAUACUCCCUCCGUUCCGAAUUACUCGUCGCAGAAAUGGAUAUAUCUAGAUGUAUUUUAGUUCUAGAUACAUCCAUUUCUGCGACAAGUAAUUUCGAACGGAGAGAGUAGAUC
rnacentral:pre_miRNA from 1 species